UGUUUCAUCUUCCAAACCAUUCUCCUUUAAGUUACUUAUGUUUGUUUCAUUCAUUUUCCCCCAAGAACAUUUCUAAACAAAUAUGAAAAUUUCCUCUCAAUCAUCUAUCCUAUGUUUUAAAUCACACCUUAUAGGAGUUGUGGUUGCUUUUCCAAGUCCCUUCAAGGAUCGUUCAUUGCAAUUUUGUCUUUUCGGUUUUCAUCAUCAUUUCAAGCUCUCUUAGUUGCUGGAAAAUUUCCUCUUUUUAUUCUUUAUGGUAGAGAGGAAAACACACCAACGGAAGCUUUAAGGAAUUUCCUUUAGUUUACGAAGUUCAGAUAGUUAUAUAGUUGACGAGAAUAACGUCGAUGAUGACCUGGGCAUUGACGAGGAGGAGAUAUGAGACACAGUUGAAUUUUAUUUAUAAUCUAUACUUUUAAUUAUGACUAUACCACAUUUUUACUUGUUUUAUUUAGGGAUAAUAACUUUGUGAUUUCCGUUGCUAAAGAUUUAUAAGUUAAGUCUUAUUAAGUUAUCGUUUUCA